UUAGUUUGUUAUUAAUUUGAUUUAUAUGUAAAUUUUUGUGAGAAUAUUUAAUAAUUUUAAAAAUUAUUAAUUUUUAAAUAGCCGCAGUAAUUAAUUUUAUUAAUUAAAGAAAUUUAGAAAUAGUAAUAUUAAAGAGUAUAGAUAAAAUUGGUGCCAGCAAUCGCGGUUAUACCAAUUAUACAAAUAAAUUUUAUUAGAAAAAGUUAAAUUGUUUUAUAUUAAAUUAUAUUAAAUUUAUUAAGUGAAAUUUUAAAUUUAAAAAUUUUAUAAAAAUUAUAAUUGAAGCUUGAAAAUUUUAAUAAA
rnacentral:rRNA from 1 species